GCGCGGGCCGGGGCCUAUUUCUAUGCGGCCGAUCCGCUCCCGGCCCGUUCCGUUCGGGAACACUCGUGCUGGGAGGCGGCGGGAUCCUCGUCGGAGCGCUGUGCCAGGGACAGCUCCCGGUUCUGCGCGAAUCCUGGGGCGCUCAGGUCACAGGAUAUACUGGGAUUGAGAGGGUUCCUGAAAUCCGACUCUCGAGGACACGGCCCGUGGGAGAAUUGAACUCACAACCUUGGCACUACCUGGACUGUGCUCCGACUGACUGAGCCCUCUGCAUCUCAGGUAUGAAACUCCCAAGGAUGGGAAUCAUUGGCUCCAGCAAGGAAACUGCAGCUCCUUCUAUUCUGCUAAAGCAGCUUUACACACCAGCCCCUGCCACGGCUGUAGGGUAGAACUGGCUGGCAGCUGGCAUGACAGCACCGCAUCUUCCCAUCCCCUGAUUUUCCUGCCCUUUCCAGGAUUUACCCAGCAGCUGUAGAUUUGCUCUUGCCAUGUCUCUUUGUAGGGAGAAGUGAGCAGGACAGGUUCUGAGGCUUCCCUUGCUGCGUGGCCUGAGUUCUUCUGGAGAGUGGCAGGUGGCAUUUCCUGCAGGUGAGUGUUGCCCAAAUGAAGCAGCUGCUGAAGCUGGGGUUGGUUUUGUGGCCCAGAGCUGCACAGAGGCCUCAGUGCCUCCCUCUCAGUGCCAGCAAUGCUCCUUGAUGUUUCUGUGUGUCCCAGCUGCGAGGGGCAGGACGAGGCCAGGAGUCCCCGAAAGGCAUCCAGCACCUCUUGUCCUUGGGCCCUCGGGGCAAGGGCUGUGCCUGCAGCGUCCUGCCCGUGCCGAGCACACGGCCCGGGAUGGGCGCUGGGUGCCCGGCCGGCGCUGGCGCGGACACGGCUCAAGGGCUGCCCGUGGCUCCCGGGCCAGGGGCUGCUCUGAGCAGGCUCCUGGAGAUGCUCCAGCCUGGAUACAGGCCACUGACAGCCCAAAAGCAGCCCAAGGAGCAGCUGGCGUGUCCUGGUGAUGGCGGCACGGGCUGCGUGCAGAGGGGCUCAGACAGCAAUUCCUGGUUCCAGCCUCCCAGAGCUCCCAGGCAGCUGCCAGCUAUUAAAUGCCAACCGACAGCCUGCAGAGAUGCCUUCAAAUCAAAGGUUCAGGUGGGAUGAAGUUUUGUUUGGACGAAGGUGGGAGUUUCCAGGGAGCCAGCUGGAAGUGCAGAAGGGAUGGAAAGCUUUCCCAGGUACUUCCCAGUGGCACUGCUCAGACACCAGAGCUCCAACUGCAGCAGGUGAGUCCUGGAGUGCUGGAUCAGCAUGGCCACAAUGGCCAGGGAGGUGAGUGAGCACUGGGCAAGGCAGUGAGCCUGCACCUCAACACCACCUGUGAGAGCAAGGACUGGCUCACUCUGGAGAGCCUGAAGGAAAACUCGCUCCAAAUCUCUUCUGGCCGAUGCUGACAUCAAUUUCCCCAAAGCCUUAAUGUGCUCUGUGGACAGCAGAAGUUCUCCUUGCUGGGGCUGUCUUUGGUGGCUGUCUGUAAAGAGCUGCACCAAAGUUUGUCCAUAGAAGCUUAACUGCUUCCCUAUUUUAGGGGAUUUUUUCAGAUUUCUGAGAAGCCAAGCCCAUCUCAGGAAGUUGCAGCAUGGUUAAAGUGAUCUCCUUCAGCUGAGCUGCAGUCAUGUACAUGUGCAGCUCCUCCAGAGCCUGCAGCUGGUGAGACUUCCUGGGAUAGACCUGGCUUUGGUCCUUCCCCCCAGUCUGCAGCUCUUCCAGGACACUUUUGGUGAUGGCUUUGAAAUACUUGGACAAGACGUGUCUGUGAUCUCUCGUUUUCAGCAGCUGGAGCACCCCAGAAUGGAGGUGAGCUGACAGGAGCUUCACAGUGACAGGGUUCAGACCAGGCUGAGGAACAGAGCGCAGCUCCAACGCCAGGAACCAGCUCUCCAGUGCAGGAUGUCUGAAAAUCAAGGGAUUUGGUACCUUGUCAUUUGAAGACACUUCUGUCAUCAGAGGCUCCUCAUCCAUGAAGAGAUCCCAUCAGCCUGAUGCUCCUCCUGCUUCUGCUGCUGCUCCAGCUUUAUUUCAUUGUCCCGGCACAACAAGAUGCUCAGCAGGUCCACACAGAGAUCAACAAGCUGAGGACCCAAAGUUUUACCAAGCUAUGAAAACAAAGACAUGUUGGAAGUGAAGAAAAGAGGAGGAUGGGAGCAGACAGGUGCUUUAUCUUUAUUAAAAAGGAAAGGGCUGUUUGUUCUAAUUGUACUAGAAAUAAAUCAGGUGGUUGAAGAAAUAAGUCAGGUGGUUGCACACCUUGUCUGGCUGUGGUGUCUCCCUUCAGCUCUAGGAAUCACGCUUAUCAAGGUGUC